rnacentral:rRNA from 1 species
UACGUAGGGGGCAAGCGUUGUCCGGAAUCAUUGGGCGUAAAGAGCGCGUAGGCGGCCUGGUAAGUCCGCUGUGAAAGUCCAGGGCUCAACCCUGGAAUGCCGGUGGAAACUGCCAGGCUCGAGUCCGGAAGAGGCGAGUGGAAUUCCUGGUGUAGCGGUGAAAUGCGCAGAUAUCAGGAGGAACACCAAUGGCGAAGGCAGCUCGCUGGGACGGUACUGACGCUGAGACGCGAAAGCGUGGGGAGCAAACAGG